UAUUUAAAAUUUGAGAGAUCAUAUACUAAUAUUGGAACAAUGCAGAGAAGAUUAGCACAGCCCCUGCACAAGGAUGACACACACAUUUGUGAAGCGUUCCAUAUUUAA